rnacentral:rRNA from 1 species
UACGUAGGGCGCAAGCGUUGUCCGGAAUUAUUGGGCGUAAAGAGCUCGUAGGCGGCUUGUCACGUCGGGUGUGAAAGCCCGGGGCUUAACCCCGGGUCUGCAUUCGAUACGGGCAGGCUAGAGUGUGGUAGGGGAGAUCGGAAUUCCUGGUGUAGCGGUGAAAUGCGCAGAUAUCAGGAGGAACACCGGUGGCGAAGGCGGAUCUCUGGGCCAUUACUGACGCUGAGGAGCGAAAGCGUGGGGAGCAAACGGG